rnacentral:lncRNA from 1 species
GUAUGCCUUCUUAAAAAGUCACUUUAUGGUUUAAAACAAGUUCCAAGACAAUGGUCCAAGAGAUUUGACACUUUUGUACCUGAACUUGGUUUUAAAAGAAGUAAUUUCGAUAUUUGUCUUUAUUGUAAAGGAAAUGGAGGUGAGAAUUCACUCUAUCUUCUACUUUAUGUGGAUGACAUGAUUUUUGCUAGUCAUGACAUAAAGAAAAUAGAGUUAAUUAAAGACAAACUAAAAUCUUAAUUUGAAAUGAAGGACUUAGGCCUUGUUAGAAAAAUUUUGGAUAUCGAAAUUAAAAGAAAUAGAGGAUAGGGCAUAAUAAGUCUAAAUAAAAGAUCUUAUGCUUUGAAAAUACUUGAAAGAUUUGCAAUGUCUAAUGCUAAAAGUGUGAGUUUACCUUUAGCAAAUCACUUCAAAUUAUCUAAUGAACAAUCUCCCAAGAUUGAAGAAGAGUUCAAAAGAAUGUCUAGAGUGUCAUAUUCUAAUGCUGUGGAGUCAGUUAUGUAUCUAAUGAUUUGUUCUAGGCUUGAUUUGGCAUUUGCAAUAAGUGUAUUGAGUAGAUACAUGUCCAAUCCUGGUGAGGUUCAUUGGGAAGCUAUGAAGUGGCUUCUAAGAUAUAUAAAAGGAACUUGUGACCUAGGAAUUGAGUAUAGAAAGCAAUCUGAAGGUGCUAUCUUGAGGGGUUACAUAGAUUCUGAUUAUGCAGGCGAUAGGGACAAUAGAAAAUCAACUUCUGCCUAUGUGUACACUUUAUGUAAUUCCUAUAUAAGCUAAAAACCACAAUUACAAAAGAUUGUUGCUUUAUCUUCAACUAAAGCAGAAUAUAUAGCUACUAUGAUGAAUUUAGGUAAAAGGACUUUUAAAUGAAUUUGGUUUCAUAAGUGAUGUUGUCUUGCAUUCCGAUAGCCAAUUUGCUAUAUAUUUGAGUAGAAA